UACGUAGGGUGCGAGCGUUUAAUCGGAAUUACUGGGCGUAAAGCGUGCGCAGGCGGUUUUGUAAGUCAGAUGUGAAAUCCCCGGGCUUAACCUGGGAACUGCGUUUGAAACUACAAGGCUAGAGUGUGGCAGAGGGGGGUGGAAUUCCACGUGUAGCAGUGAAAUGCGUAGAGAUGUGGAGGAACACCGAUGGCGAAGGCAGCCCCCUGGGUUAACACUGACGCUCAGGCACGAAAGCGUGGGGAGCAAACAGG
rnacentral:rRNA from 1 species